ACUUAAGAUGUGUAUGUGCUGUAAAUAUGGACGAACAUUAGUGUGUAGGAUUUAUGUGGGAUUGCAUGAUAUUUUUGCAUUCCCAUAAAAGAGCUACAAACAUGG